UAAAUUAUUAUAGAGGUGGAUAGUUCCUCUCAAAAGAAUGAAAUUCUACGCAGCGGAAAUAAAAACAAAAGACUAAACAGCUAUGGCGACUCCACUCCACAAGCAUCUUGACCCGAACAUAGCCUAAUCCUCCUGAACAGCACCUUCAUUGAAGUACUCCUCUGAUGAAUGAAUAUUGCAAGAAUGAGCGUAUGACAUACUCAACAAGCCACACAGCAAAUAUGCAAAUGCACAGGAUAACAAAGGAUGGCAUAAUAUAGCUUAUUUGCAUAAACAACAUUUAAUAAACAUUUGAGAGAAUAGUAAAACAAUUGUAUAAAUUAAGCAAUAUUAAAUAAACACUAUACAACACACCCGUGUUGCAUAGGCCCAAACUCAUCUGAACAACCAACCCCGGUUGUACAAAUCAAACCUCCAUACCAGGAAUGUACCAUUCCAAACCAGGAGUCAAUUUAAUUAUCACAGUUUAUCACCAAUAAUGAGUAGUGUGAGACUAAUCACGAAAAACAUUAUUAGACCCGCCCAUAACCACGGGCACAGCUAUUUAAAUAGUUUUACUCUGGCCAGAGAUGUACCACUUUACCCACAAGACACAGCUCCACGACAUGUCACCAUGCGCCUCAAUACCACCACGGUAUCUCGGAAAGGAACUGUGACAAUACCCCCUCGCACAAUACAACUCACCACAGUGCACCAAUCCUGGAUCAUAAUCACCCCCUCUACAACCAGAGGCAUGAACUCCCCAGCGACCCCCAUAGACUUCUCGCCGCUUCUCAGUCUGGCACCCCGUAAUGAACCAUGCUAUACUGAAGGUAAAGCCGUUGCCCACGCUGGCUUGUGGUUGGCACGGUAAAUAUUUCACAACAGUAGCUCGCGAACCGGUCCUUAAUUGUCAUGAGACUACCAUCAAAACCAUGUGCUCACAACCCACCAUUAAUCAAAUUUUAAUUAUCAUAGCACGAUUAACCAUCGUGAGCUACCAUUAAAUAUAACCAUAAGUAGUAAUGUAGUGUGAUUUAUCCCAUUAAUGAGCUAAUGUUUCUAAGCAUGGCUAAGCAAUUAUAUAUAUAGCAUUUAGGCUAGCUGAACCAAACCAAUAUAUAAGGUUCGAGCUAAUCAAUUUAUUACCCAUAGUAAGAUAAAGUCAUCUUCGGCCAUAAUUAAUUGGGAAAAGGCUCACCACCCGAUGACAUUCGAAAAUAAUGCAUAAGUUGAAAUAAAACAUUAGCUUUAAACGGGUUCAACAUGCUCAAAGGGUUGUUUGGGAUCUGUAUGACUUGCCUUGAGCUUCUUUAAACACUUCUGAACCUUACUCAAUGUAAACGCUCUCCUCGGGAACAUCGGAAACUAAAGCAAAUGAACAAAAUCAACAAAACAGUACAAAAACAAGCAUAAACAGUACAUGUGGAUAUUUUUAACAUGUAGAUCUCGAUUUUAGAUGAAUUUAGCAACUUGAACCACUUGAAUCCGAGUUACGAUGAUUUAGCUAUGAAUUUCCGAAGUUUAAUCAGUUUUUCACCUAAUUCAGAAAAUUAUUACGAUUUAAAUAAAAAAUUUAUGAUGUCAGGAUGACAUCACUGCCGGGCAUGGUUCUGGACCACACAACCGCCGGCGAACGAAGGCACAACGGCGCAAACAGAGAGCACCAUCGCAACGAGCACGACGAGAGGAACCCACCGGUGGUGACGGCGACGACAAUCGACGACAGAAAACGGCCGGCGACGAGCUUCCAAAAGCG
rnacentral:lncRNA from 1 species